CAGUAGCCGCGGGAAAACGAAGGGUGCAAGCGUUAAUCGGAAUUACUUGGCGUAAAGCGCGCGUAGGUGGUUUGGUAAGAUGGAUGUUAAAUCCCCGGGCUCAACCUGGGAACUGCAUCCAUAACUGCCUGACUAGAGUACGGUAGAGGGUGGUGGAAUUUCCUGUGUAGCGGUGAAAUGCGUAGAUAUAGGAAGGAACACCAGUGGCGAAGGCGACCACCUGGACUGAUACUGACACUGAGGUGCGAAAGCAUGGGGAGCAAACAGGAUUAGAUACCCCCGUAGUCCCUGUCUUUAUACA
rnacentral:rRNA from 1 species